GCCUCAACCUCCCGGACUCAAGCGAUCCUCCUACUUCAGCCUUCUGAGUAGCUGAGACUACAGGUGUGUACUGCCACAUCAGGCUAAUUUUGUUAAUUUUUUGUAGAGACAGGAUCUUCAUAUGUUGCCUAGGCUGGUCUUGAAUUUCUGGACUUAAGCAGUCUUCCUGCCUUGGCCUCCCAAAGUGCUGGAUUACAGGUGUGACCCACUACACCUGGCCUCAUUGUGUUUUUUCUUAUAUAACCACACUGUAUGGGGAAGGCAGCACAUACAACAUGGAUAUACUAAACAAAAGGAUGAUUCAUUUCCCAGGUGGAACAGACUGGGACAGCGUGAGAUUUCAUCACACUUCUCUCAGAAUGGCAAGCAAUUAAAAACAUAAAUUUUUUAGUUCUGGAUUUUUCCAUUUAAUAUUUUUGGACUGUUGUUGACCAUUGGUAACAGAAGCCUCGGAAAAAGAAACUAUGGAUGAGGGGAGAAGACUGUAGUCACAAUUAAGGCAGAUCAUAAAGACUGGGGACUGCCAUGCAUCCGUUCCGCUCAGAUCUGCAGAGAAAACAGGCGGUCACACAAUGAGUUAUCACGCGCUGCUUCAAAUGAGAAGCCCUUGCUAAGGAGAGAGAGCCUGUGUCUUCACAAUCAUCAAAGAAAGAAGUUUAUUAACCACCUCCCGCCCGCCCGCAUGCCACACACACACACUGAUCCCAUCUCCACUCCAAGUAAAUAGGUCAUAGUGUCAAUCCAGCCAGGGCCCAGUGACCACUAAUGCAAGCUGGAGAUGCUGAUGUGCCUAGAACUGGGGCAGGUGUUGCAGAAGUACCCCCUGUCAAGGAAGGCAUUUGGGGCUCCCUGGAUGUCAGCAGCAUCAGUCACAGAGCAGGAAGCUGAUUCUCUCAUUGGCCAAAGACUCUUGGUCUUUCUCUGACGAUCUUCAGAGAAGCCCUCCUUUACUAUCCCCUCCCUCUCUCCGUCCCUCCCUCCCUCCCUCCCUUCCUCUUUAUCUCCCUUCUCCUUCCUUCUUUCCUCCCUUCCUUUCCCCUCCCUCCCUCAACCCCUCCCUCCCUUCCCUUCCCUUUGUCCCUCCCUCCCUUCCUUCCUCCCUCCCUCCCUUCUUUCUUUUCCUUUCCCUUCCCUUCUUCCUUCCUGCCUUCCUCCUUCCUUCCCUUUUACCUUCCCUUCCCCUUCCUUCCUUCUUCCUUCCUUCCCUUUGUCCUUCCCUCUCUCUCUGCCAUUGUCUUCCCUACCCUCCCUUCUUCUCUCCUCCCCUCCCAUUUCCUUCCCUUCCCUUUCUCCCCUCCCAUUCCCUUCCCUUCCCUUUCUCCCCUCCCCUUCCCUUCCCCCUCCCUCCCUCCCUCCCUCCCUCCCUCCCUUCUUCCUUCCUUCCCUCUUACUCCCUCCUUCCUUUUCUCCCUUCCUUCCUUCCUUCUCCUCCUUCCUUUCUUCGAACCAACAGUUAUUUAUUGAACACCUGCACUGUGCUUUGCCCUGUUCUGGAUAACAGUUAUCUAGCUACAAUCAGAGUAUGCAGACUUUAGCAUGGGGGCAUCAUUGGUUUCACUGCCUCCGCCCUUAAAAAAAAAAAAAAAAAACUUUUGCUGAGUGACUUUGUCUUAUGGAAGUUAGAAAGACCAUAAGAUGCAGCAAUUAGGUGACUUUGAGUCUGACAGACCUGCAUCCAAAUACUAUCUCUGUCUCUUACUGGAAAGUUUUUGUUGUUGCUGUUUUUUUUUUAACUUAAGGAAGUUAAAAGCCUCCUUUUUUUUCAUCUGUAAAAUGUGGAUUACAAUCCAACGUCAUAGGAUUGUUGUGGUGAUUAAAUGAGAUAGGUCAUGAAAAAUAAAGUGAUUAGCAUAGCACAGGCACA
rnacentral:lncRNA from 1 species